rnacentral:rRNA from 1 species
GUGGGGGAUAUUGCACAAUGGGGGAAACCCUGAUGCAGCGACGCCGCGUGAAGGAAGACGUACUUCGGUAUGUAAACUUCUAUCAGCAGGGAAGAAGAUGACGGUACCUGACUAAGAAGCCCCGGCUAACUACGUGCCAGCAGCCGCGGUAAUACGUAGGGGGCAAGCGUUAUCCGGAUUUACUGGGUGUAAAGGGAGCGUAGACGGUGAAGCAAGUCUGAUGUGAAAACCCGGGGCUCAACACCGGGAUUGCAUUGGCAGCUGGUUUACUUGAGUGCUGGACGGGCAAGCGGAAUUCCUGGUGUAGCGGUGAAAUGCGUAGAUAUCAGGAAGAACACCGGUGGCGAAGGCGGCUUGCUGGACAGUAACUGACGUUGAGGCUCGAAAGCGUGGGGAGCAAACAGGAUUAGAAACCCCAGUAGUCC